CAUAAUGGAAAAUGUUAUAAAAAACUCUAAUUUUGAGGCGCUCUCACACUGGAAUAAGUUUAACAUCCCUUUAUUCCUGGUUUUUGCUUGUUUGUGACUUGGCUGGUAUUGCUUGCGCUCAAAUUUUGUCAUUAUUUAAUUACGGAUAUGGAACUUGAUAGCUCAUUUACUAACGACUCACCUGCAGCAAACAUCACAUUAAGUAGUAGCUUAAGUAAUAGUGCCAUAAGAGAAAGACUUAGUAUUAGUGGUGAAUUAAAAAUGUCUUAAGCUACUGGGAAAAGCAAAGCUUGGGAGGUAUUUGGAAUAGUAGUAAAUGAAAUUAAUGAACAAAUUCCAAAUAUUGUAGUGUGCAAAACGUGCUUCAAUAUAUUUAAGCACUGCAAAAAGUCCACCUCAAAUUUGUUAAAGCACAAGUGCUUUAUAAAAUACACAUUGGCCAGUAAUUGCGAAAGUAUCAAUAAAGUAGAAAUAAGUGCAGAACGCAAAAAGGAAGCGUUGGAAAUUAUAACUGAAUGGGUCAUUAAAAGCUACAGGCCAUACAAAAUAGUUGAAGACAAUGGGUUACAUAAACUAUUAGAAUAUUUUUCUCAUCUUGGUGUGAAAUAUGGGCAGCCUAUCAAUGUGCAAAGUGCGUUGCCGUAUCCGACUACAUUAUCUAGAAACAUAGAUAGUAUAAACGACAUAUAUUUGAACGUAGUAAGAGCCGACCUUGUAUGUAUAUGAAAAACUAUAUGGAUAUGGAUUAACAUCCGACCUUUGAACAGACAAUUUUUUAAGGAAAACGUAUUUAGCGCUUACAGUUCAUUACAUUAAAAAUGGAAAUAUUGUAAACCAACUUCUUGGCUUACGGUCUAUGAGCGGCGAAAAAAAUACAAGUUACAAAAAGUUUGUACUGCUGCUGUCACCGAUUCCGAACCAGUUACAGAAUUCAAGGAAAAACUGAACACAUAUUUACAGUCUACAGUUAUCGAAAAUCUGAAUAUCAUUCAUAAAAUUGCGCUCUUUUCAUUUGUUCCUGCAAAUAAACUUGUACCGUUCUCCGAAAUAGACAAAACUUGUACUAGAAAUAAAUGUAAGCGGCUAAUGGCAGAAUUCACUGUAGAUGCAAUAAACAGUGAGUCAUAUCCCACGCCGUCUUGUUCUACCGAAAAUAGUAUUUUGUUUACGGAUUUUGUACAAUCAAAACAAACGCUUAAUGUUGAAAAUAAAAUCGAUAAAGAAAUGCAUAAGUACGAAAACACUGACGUCGAUUUGUAUGAUGAUUUCGACAUUAUUCAGUGGUGGUACGGUCACAAAGAGGAUUUUCCAAUUUUAUAUAAACUGAGCUGUCGAAUUUUAGCAACUCCAGCAUCCUCAGCUCCUUCUGAAAGAGUGCUUUCCGUCUCCCGGAAUAUUAUAACCGAAAAACGCUGCAGCAUUAGUUGUAAUGACAGCGCAAUAAAUAAGAUAAUGUUCCUGCAUUCAAGUAUAGACUAAAAGCGUAUUUAAAAGUGUAUUUAAAAAAAUAAGAAUUUAUGUACAUUAUAAUUAUUUUCUCUAUCUUUGAAAAAAGUUCUUUUGUUUAUUUUGUAUUUUCUUUCCUUCCGUGUUUUUUCUGAAAGAUUAUAUCCAUGUUUGUUUAUCAAAUGAACUACAUAUAAAAAUUUAUGUUUCAUUAACGAGU